rnacentral:rRNA from 1 species
GACGAACGCUGGCGGCGUGCCUAAUACAUGCAAGUAGAACGCUGAAGGAGGAGCUUGCUCUUCUGGAUGAGUUGCGAACGGGUGAGUAACGCGUAGGUAACCUGCCUGGUAGCGGGGGAUAACUAUUGGAAACGAUAGCUAAUACCGCAUAACAGUAGAUGUUGCAUGACAUUUGCUUAAAAGGUGCAAUUGCAUCACUACCAGAUGGACCUGCGUUGUAUUAGCUAGUUGGUGGGGUAACGGCUCACCAAGGCGACGAUACAUAGCCGACCUGAGAGGGGGAUCGGCCACCCUGGGACUGAGACACGGCCCAGACUCCUACGGGAGGCAGCAGUAGGGAAUCUUCGGCGAUGGACGCAAGUCUGACCGAGCCACGCCGCGUGAGUGCAGAAGGUUUUCGGAUCGUCAAGCUCUGUUGUAAGAGAAGAGCGAGUGUGAGAGUGGAUAGUUCACUCUGUGACGGUAUCUUACCAGAGAGGGACGGCUAACUACGUG